AUGGCAUGAUGUGGGCAUUGCCUCUCCAAUUCUUUCCAUCUCAUCCAUGACUCAUAGAGGGUCUCAUCUUCUCUUGGCCUAAAAGCUAUCAUUUGAUUCCUUAAUUCU